rfam:Trichomalopsis sarcophagae strain Alberta scaffold875, whole genome shotgun sequence.
CAAUCGGCCCUUUUCAGGGCCAAAAUAUAUUUCAAACGUAUGGAACU